GAAAGUCGACUCUAGAUCGGGUUUUUCUCGGCAUGUUGUUCGCUUGAUGGCCAGCAGUAGUAGCAGCAGCAGCAACAACCCAACAAAAAAGCGUGCUCGCCAACAAAAAGGACCACGUUUCUUGUGCAACGUGCGCUAAAGGGUGAAGAAAGAAAGCAAAAAAAAAAACAUCAAUCCCGGAUCCACAUCCGAAGACGUACGGAAGAAACAGAAACGGUCAGAUGGUCCUGCCAACAUAUACACACUCACACAUGUAUGCACGAUGAUGAUGAUGAUAACGACGACCACCACAAACAAAAGCAAACACCGGUAGCCGGGUGGAAGUUUUCCUUGCCACCCGGAGGCCCGAUGGACUUUUCCUUCGCGUUGUGCGCUCAGAUAUUCUUUCGACUUCGAUCUGUACAGUUGACAGUCUAAGGAAUAUAUACCACGAACCUAGCUCGUUCUUUUGCUUUGGCCGUUUCGGUUCAAAACAUUUGGCGCCGUGAUUGACUCUUAGAGAACAAGACACGGCAUACUAUAAGACUAAACCUACUUAUUACAAUACAAUUGCAUGUGAAGUUUGGGCGAUAGUGAUAUUAGCGGAACGUUACUUUUUAAGUGCAAAUUUCUGGACAAAUACUUUAAUAAGCAGUGCGCGGUAAACAACGGUGAACGAAUCAAAGUGGAAGUGAAGGUUUUCUAUUCACUUGUGCAACUGAGUGUAACCUGCGUGUGUGCGUUUGUUGCUAUGGGGACCAGCCAGUGCAACCUUGCUAGAUGAGCAGUGGAUGCAUUCAUGUUGUGACUGUUUUGAAAGUUCCGAUGAUAGACCAGCGUGCGCAUUCGUUUGUACCAGAACAUUGUACCAGAAGUGACACGUGUGCCGAAGUUUAAUGCAAUUCUAUAGGAUUUAUGUUUAGUGAGAGGAUUACGAGACUUAGUGUAGCAAUCAGAAACGGAUCCGUGUAUUUCGAUUAGCUAGGAUAGUUGACGUUGUUCUAUGUUUAGUUUGGUAUGUUUACGUUUUAGUUAGUUGGUUUGACUCUCAGGGUGAUCGUAGUAGGCAAAAUUUGGUAGUUCCGCAUCCGUAAAGAGCUUUUAUUUUGGCUUUCAAGCUUCCGCGGCUAUUCGUGCACGUGUAGGACGCAUUAGAAAUAGUGCAGGUUGCUAUUACCGGCUUGAUUAGAUAAAGGAGAUAAUUCGGUUAGUUGUCUGGGUCUGCACGCACAAACCUCUACCCUGUUUGCAAUGCUUUGAAUGUGCGCCCCAAUAUUAUUGCACCACCCGCCUUCGUGUCUGCCCCUAACGUUUGGGCCAUUACGUCGUCUUCGGUAAUGGAACUCAAGUCCCGACCCGGUUCACCAACAACGGUUACCAGUGGUGUCAUAGUGCAGAGUUCGCUAUCGGCCGGCUCACACCCGGAAGUUGGAACUGAAAGCGCGGGCAACAGUAGUUUGAUAGCCGGUGCCGGCAGUAGUACAUCGCCCUUAGCUAGUACCGUAGGUCAGGCGGGAACCGGAUCCGACCGUCCGAAGUCGGAACAGUACGGUGCAAUUAGUGCGACGCCGAGUUCGUGCACGGUUACCGCGGCGAAAGUUGCACCCACGUCCCUGUCGUCCUUCCACGGCAAGCGAUCGCCGUCCAUUGCAACACCCGUCAAGGGUUCGAACGUGUCCGGUGGAAGUACGGCAACUGGGUCCACGUCCUGCAUACCGAGCCCCAUCCUAAGCCCACCGGGUAAAAUCUUCGGACGCAACAACAACGGAAUCAUGGUUGUCACAUCGACCCCAUCGAACGAAGCCGAACUUCAGCUGUAUCGCGUGCUGCAGCGGGCUAGUUUGCUGAACUAUUAUGAUACUUUGCUGGAAAUGGGAGGUGAUGAUGUUCAACAGUUGUGCGAUGCAGGCGAGGAAGAAUUCCUCGAGAUAAUGGCGCUGGUUGGGAUGGCUUCGAAGCCGCUGCACGUUCGGCGUCUCCAGAAGGCACUGCACGAAUGGAUGACCAAUCCAUCCGCCUUCCAGAGUCCGCUCACGAACGUGGACAUCCCUUCGCGGAUCCCGUACAGUCCCGAGCCGGGUUCGAUAGCGCGCAGCGUUACGACGGCCAUCACUGCACCGUACGGUGGUCCAUCAACGGUUGCCGGAAGCUUUUCAAACCUAACGGCCAACGCCUCCUCCAGUACAAACCUUCCACUUACCCCACCCACCCCCGUCCCGGUAGCUCCCCCUUCCUCUUCCUCGGCAGCAGUGGCCGCUGCAGCAGCUGCUGCCGCUUCCGGUGCGUCCUCCACACUCGCCCACUUAGGUACGGGCGUGAGUUCGCUCGGCCAUCAUCAUCUGAUGCACCAUCACCAUCACCAUCAUCCGCUGAGCAGCAGCAAUCUUAGCAGCACGAUCAGCAACCAAAUCGGAUCCACCACCAGCGGGUCGGUACAGUUGACACCUUCGCUAACCGAAGAUCAGGUGGCAAAGAUUGUGCAGGCAGCGGAACGGCUGUCGCGCACACUGCCCCGGCUUGAACCACGGCAGCAAAGCAUAAAGAAGCGUUCGGCACGCGACCUGGAAGCGGUUAUCGCGAUGAGCGAAAGUGAUCCCAGGCGGAUGGAAGAGAUUCGCAAGUACUCGGCCAUCUACGGACGGUUUGACUGCAAACGCCGGCCGGAGAAGCCACUGACGCUGCACGAGGUGUGUGUCAACGAGGCAGCGGCCCAGAUCUGCAAAUACAUUCCAGCGCUGCUGACAAGGCGUGACGAGCUGUUCCCACUUGCCCGGCAGGUGGUUCGUGAUUGUGGUUUCGGCCAUUCCGCUAGUAUACGAUUGACAGGGUUGAGUCAAACUCAGCAGAAUCGUGGAGAUGAGAUGGACACGGUGCAACAGCUGAAGCGAGCGCGUCUCUCAAGCGACACCAGUUCCGAUCUGGGCAAGCCAACGCCAACUACGCAGUAUACGUGCUUAUGAGCUUAUGUUCGUGCAAUUGUAGUCGAUCGAGCUGAUCCGAGGGCUCGCGCUGGCCUGUGCCUGAGCAGCGGAACAGAUCGUUCUGCACUGCCUCCCUUGGCACGCUUACCUCGCUCUUCCUCGCUUGGGCUACGCUUCCGGGUCGCUUUGUUUUCCAACACGCUUUCCAAUGCUUCCGCUAGCUUUAUCGCUUUUUUUGUUGUUGAGCAUUUAAGUAUCCUUUUAUAUUUAUCUAUUUAUUAUUGGCUUUAGUUUAAGGGUUUUCUAUGUUUUUUUAUAUUUUAACCUUUUUGCUUUAGUUUUAUUUUAACCUGUUGUGUAGAAAGGUGGAAAGCAAAAAACUUAUCUCGUUCAAGGAGUUGUCCAAAGCAUGAGAUACUUUUUCGCUUUCCAUUGAUUAAAGGCGACAUUUUUGCUUUGAAUUUUAAUUCGCUGCGAAAGAAAAUUUAAAGCAAAACUUUCACCUGCGCAGUACCUUCCUUAAUGCUAGAUUUCACAACUCACAGCCGUGGAUGUUGUGCUGUGCUAUUGUAUACUUUAGACUAUUUUUUCGUGUGUAAGAAACCCAAUUAGUAUAGAAUAUUCGCGUGUGCCUUUUAGUUUAGCUAGUCAUUGCUUUGACCUAUCAUUUUUCGCUUGUCUUGAUGCCCCUCUUUUAUUGCCUCAAGUGUUAAAUAUCUGCGCCUUACCUUUAAGCCAUCAUUUCCCGAGACCAUCCCAAGAUAUUUAAAAUAUGUGUCUUGAAAGUCUUCUUGUUCCAUUUAACCACAAUACAGUACUUAGUCGCUUCGCUACGCUUCGCAUUUCAUAUUUUUGAAUUGUACGUGCAAAUAUGUUGUUUUCCUUCAAUCGAAUUUUUCAUUCAUUUAACCAAUCUCUGGCCAAUUCUUCUCCUUUUUGGCUCAAAGACCUGCUAGAUCACGCGGGGUGUCUAAUGGCUUACUAGACUGCUUAAAACCACGUUGUUGGGAUGUCAGUCCUCACUGCGGGAACUUGCCAAUUUUUCUCCUGAUAAUUUAUUUUGUCUUUAAUAUCAGUUCACACUUCCGAUAAGCAUGUCAUCGAAGUGACGAACAUAGAAAAUAGCAUAGUCAUCAUGUUUGCACGUACAAUUUCAACGGCACUCUGUACGAACAUGUGCGAUCUUUGCAGAAAACAAGUGCAAUGCAUUCGACCUUUGCAGGGUGCUAGAUCACUGCUUCACCGCUUACGCUUUCGCUUUAGUAUAGCAUUACUAGAACGUUGAAACGCUCCCCGUAUCUUCGUAUCUUCAAAACAUUAAUAGCAGGUUUGAAUGUAUCACGCUUUCCAUCAGAACAAGAUUCAACCUAAAGUAUAGCAAUAAUUGCUUGAGUAGUUUGAGACCGUAAAAGCUAACUCUGCCCUUCCUUGUACGCUUCUACUGCACGCACAAAACUAACCCAAUAAUGCUGAGGUAAAUGUGCAUUGGGUACUAAUUCGCUUCACUUUCGUACACCUUCCCAGGAAAACUCCGACGAUAAUCGCGACAUUUCGAGCGGCUCCAUUUACCAGCAGAUCAGUGACAAACCCUUCGAUUUAACUGAUUCAAGUAAAUUUUCAUACACUAGAUCCGAAUUUGAUGACACAGAUUCUCGAUUUAGUU